rnacentral:sRNA from 1 species
CUUGGUCAUUUAGAGGAAGUAAAAGUCGUAACAAGGUCUCCGUUGGUGAACCAGCGGAGGGAUCAUUACAGAGUUGCAAAACUCCCAACCAUUGUGAACCUACCUCACCGUUGCUUCGGCGGGUGGCCCGGGGCAACCCGCGGCCGCGCCGGCGCCUCUCUCCAGGGGCCCGGCAAACCCGUCAGAAGACCGAAACCCUGUUAUACUGGCCUCUCUGAGUAACUUAUACAAUAAGUCAAAACUUUCAACAACGGAUCUCUUGGUUCUGGCAUCGAUGAAGAACGCAGCGAAAUGCGAUACGUAAUGUGAAUUGCAGAUUUCAGUGAAUCAUCGAAUCUUUGAACGCACAUUGCGCCCGCUAGUAUUCUGGCGGGCAUGCCUGUUCGAGCGUCAUUUCAACCAUCAAGCGCCUGCGCUUGUGUUGGAGCCCUGCGGCUGCCGCAGGCUCCCAAACCCAGUGGCGGGCUCGUCGUCGUACCGAGUGCAGUAAACUUACCACGCUCAGGGCACGCGACGGGUGACCGGCCGUAAAACCCCCCAUUUUCUCAAGGUUGACCUCGGAUCAGGUAGGAAUACCCGCUGAACUUAAGCAUAUCAAUAAGCGGAGGAAAAGAAACCAACAGGGAUUGCCCCAGUAACGGCGAGUGAAGCGGCAACAGCUCAAAUUUGAAAUCUGGCCUCGGCCCGAGUUGUAAUUUGCAGAGGAAGCUUCUGGUGCGGCGCCGUCCGAGUCUCCUGGAACGGAGCGCCAUAGAGGGUGAGAGCCCCGUAUGGACGGAUGCCAAACCUGUGUGAAGCUCCUUCGACGAGUCGAGUUGUUUGGGAAU